UACAGAGGUCUCAAGCGUUGUCCGGAAUUAUUGGGCGUAAAGAGCUCGUAGGCGGUCUGUCGCGUCGGCUGUGAAAACCCGGGGCUCAACCCCGGGCCUGCAGUCGAUACGGGCAGACUAGAGUGCGGUAGGGGAGACUGGAAUUCCUGGUGUAGCGGUGAAAUGCGCAGAUAUCAGGAGGAACACCGGUGGCGAAGGCGGGUCUCUGGGCCGAUACUGACGCUGAGGAGCGAAAGCGUGGGGAGCGAACAGG
rnacentral:rRNA from 1 species